UUGAUCCUGCCGGACCCGACUGCUAUCAGAGUGAGACUAAGCCAUGCGAGUCAACGUAUGAAUAAUACGUGGCGAACGGCUCAGUAACACGUAGUCAACAUGCCCAAAGGACGUGGAUAACCUCGGGAAACUGAGGAUAAACCGCGAUAGGUCAUAAGUACUGGAAUGUUUUAUGGCUCAAAUCUACAUGGCCUCUGGAUUGGACUGCGGCCGAUCAGGCUGUUGGUGAGGUAAUGGCCCACCAAACCUGUUACCGGUACGGGCUCUGAGAGGAGGAGCCCGGAGAUGGACACUGAGACAAGGGCCCAGGCCCUAUGGGGCGCAGCAGGCGCGAAACCUCUGCAAUAGGCGAAAGCUUGACAGGGUUACUCUGAGUGAUUCCCGCUAAGGGAAUCUUUUGGCAUCUCUAAAAACGAUGCAGAAUAAGGGGUGGGCAAGUCUGGUGUCAGCCGCCGCGGUAAUACCAGCACCCCGAGUGGUCGGGACGAUUAUUGGGCCUAAAGCAUCCGUAGCCGGUCUUGCAAGUCUUCCGUUAAAUCCACCUGCUUAACAGAUGGGCUGCGGAAGAUACUACAAGACUAGGAGGCGGGAGAGGCAAGCGGUACUCAGUGGGUAGGGGUAAAAUCCUCUGAUCCAUUGAAGACCACCAGUGGCGAAGGCGGCUUGCCAGAACGCGCUCGACGGUGAGGGAUGAAAGCUGGGGGAGCAAACCGGAUUAGAUACC
rnacentral:rRNA from 1 species